ACGGAGGGUGCAAGCGUUAUCCGGAUUCAUUGGGUUUAAAGGGUGCGCAGGCGGCCUUAUAAGUCAGUGGUGAAAUCCUCCCGCUCAACGGGAGAACUGCCAUUGAAACUGUAGGGCUUGAAUCUAUUUGAAGUGGGCGGAAUACGACAUGUAGCGGUGAAAUGCAUAGAUAUGUCGUGGAACACCGAUUGCGAAGGCAGCUCACUAAGUUAGUAUUGACGCUGAGGCACGAAAGCGUGGGGAGCGAACAGG
rnacentral:rRNA from 1 species